AUACUUACUCCGGACAGGGUCAAUGGACGAUCAACAAGGUCCAUGGCCUCGGGCUGGUGACUUUCAUUGCACUUUGGAGGGGUGUCAGUCUAAGGUCGGCUCAAGUGGUCGAGCCUACGUCAUAAUUUGUGGUAGUGGGGGCCACGUUCGUGCAGCCCCUU